rnacentral:rRNA from 1 species
GACAGAGGUGCCGAGCGUUAGGCGGAAUCACUGGGCUUAAAGCGUGUGUAGGCGGGUGCCUAAGUACCUUGUGAAAUCCCACAGCUCAACUGUCGGAACUGCUUGGUAUACUGGGUGUCUUGAGCCACUUAGGGGUUACCGGGAACAAAUGGUGGAGCGGUGAAACUGCGUUGAGAGUCGGAAGGAACGCCCGUGGCGAAAGCGAGGUCCUGGACGCCUACUGACGCUGAGACGCGAAGCCAGG